rnacentral:rRNA from 1 species
ACUCGAGUGGCGAACGGGUGAGUAACACGUGGGUGAUCUGCCCUGCACUUCGGGAUAAGCCUGGGAAACUGGGUCUAAUACCGGAUAGGAGCCAUUUUUAGUGUGAUGGUUGGAAAGUUUUUCGGUGUAGGAUGAGCUCGCGGCCUAUCAGCUUGUCGGUGGGGUAAUGGCCUACCAAGGCGGCGACGGGUAGCCGGCCUGAGAGGGUGACCGGCCACAUUGGGACUGAGAUACGGCCCAG